UACGAAGGGGGCGAGCGUUGUUCGGAAUUACUGGGCGUAAAGGGCGCGCAGGCGGCCCUUGAAGUCAGGCGUGAAAGCCCCGGGCUCAACCUGGGAGGUGCGCUUGAUACUCGAGGGCUUGAGUGCGGGAGAGGAGAGUGGAAUUCCCAGUGUAGAGGUGAAAUUCGUAGAUAUUGGGAAGAACACCGGUGGCGAAGGCGGCUCUCUGGACCGUAACUGACGCUGAGACGCGAAAGCGUGGGGAGCGAACCGG
rnacentral:rRNA from 1 species